GCCAGGAGGCAGCUAAAAUGUGAAGAAACUCUCGCUUAGCUUUUUCUGCUGAGAUGAAAUUUAGCACCAAAGUGCAAUCCCUGAGGCAGCAGCUUCAUUCUGUGAAGCAGGGGUUCUGAUGUCUGCUGGUGGCUGUGCAUGCUGUCUGCUUGGAGCAAAGAGAGCAUUCAGCUCACUGGAACAGCAGGAGAAAUGUGUAGGAAACAAAGAUGCACCACCAUAGGCACCUCCAUUGUGUGAUUUAUAAGCAGCAAUUAACUCAACCUUCUAACACCACGUGACAGAGGUGUUCCUGGGCCCAUUUAUGAGCUAGGCAAGCUGAGGCACAGAGGUGUCAAACAUCAUUUCUCGGUGAUGAUACUGCAGAAAGAAGACAAGAACCCAGGAAUCAAAUCAUAACCUUGCUCUGCUGUUGCUAGAAAAGAAAGGAGCUCUAAAAUCCACUUAACUUGCUACAAAGUCUAGCAAACUUCAUAGAACUAUGAAUGCUUUUAAAUGCAAAUGGUUUCCUUAAUAAAAGAAAAAUGCAGGAACCAUUUAGAAGAACACUGAAGAAACACAUUUAAACCAUGAUGAAGCAGGAAUCAAGUCAUUUGAAAAAAAAGAAAUCAAGCUGGGAUGGAUAAUUCUCUGUAUCUCUGUCAGGCCACAAGCUUCCUAAAUUAUUGCAAUCUGACUCUGGCUGAGGUGGCAGAGCUGUCAUGUUUUAUGGUCCUUCCCCUGCUCUGUAUCUCUUGGCCUUGCCCACGCUUUGGAAAACUUAUAGGAUGGUCUGAUGCUUCUGACUGAGGAAAGGUGCUCAAUGAAGGCAAAGUUUAUCUUUGUGUAGCUGAGGCUGCAGUGGUACACAGAUCUUAACACUGCCCCUCAAAAAUAAUUUUCAUCCUCAAGACAUUGUACUUGGUGUGUCUGCAAUGCUUCUGAGGCCAACAGUAGCAGAUACAAGCAGUGGUUUGUAUGAGCAGACCCUCCUGGGACUAUCAUCACAUCAACAAGAGGUGUGCCACAUAUCAGCUAAUUGUGGGAUCAGGAUAUGGCCAGGUAGAAAGCAAGCUUAGAAGCUAAGGGAGAAGGAGACUGCAUGGAGGUGGAAGAAGAGAACAAUUUAGAAACAUAAGCUUGAACCUCGUUUACAACACCAUGUGCAAAAAAAGAAAGGUAUAACAUAUAAGAUAUGUUUUUACCUGCAAGUACCUUCACAUUAGUGGUAUGGUAAGGAUUCCUUGCUCACCACUGGGGUAGAGACGUGACAACUUGAUAAACAUGGUGUGGGGACUUGCCAUGCAUUUCAGUCUUGGCAAGGGAAAUGCUUUAUUCACAUAUGAAGCUAACAGCUCUGUAGUGGUGGAAAUAGUAUUUCUCUGUUGUAUGGAGAUCUCUGAUGUUUGGCAGAUGAUUUAAUCAGGGGAUUUUUAUUUUUUUUUUUAAAUAAAAAAGGAAAAGUAGAAUACAGAUGUGGGUAGUUAAAUAUAGGAGAUCCUAUUUCUGUUUUUAGUGUAAAUACAUUUAUUAUUUUUAAAUCUGACUCAUUUGUAAAGAUACCGAUCUAUAUAUACAUGUAUGUAAGAGUCAUGCAGUGAGGAUUGUUCAAGUCCUUGUAUGAGUGCAAGCAGUACUUUAUAAAUUGGUAUGAAGAUGUUCCACAGUAAUGAUCUGGGCUACCAGUACAGUUAUUGCUGUAGAUGCACUGCCUAUGCUUGUUUUCACAUGCAGCUAUAUUCAGAUC